ACGGAAAUGAUUCUUCUUCUUUAUAAAACUCUUCUAACUAAUUCUCCAGCUCAGCCUUAAAAAAUAAUUCUCUGUUUUGCACCCUAUUUCUCACUUACUAACAAAAUCUUUCAUCCACUACAAUCGGCACCUCAACACCCAGAGGUUGAAUCAAUUCAGGCUCCGGUUCCUUCAAGAUCUCGUGCAUUUCUUCCUCUCCAAUCAAUAAAUAACAAGAAGUUUUAUAUUUAUAUCCUGAUGACCACUUUUCCUCACAAUAGUAGUAGAGACCCUUGUCUCUUUUCAUCUUAAUUUCAGCUGCUGAAAUUUCUUAAAAAGGGGGUGUUUUGAUAUGAAGUUUCUAGUAUUAGUGUUUGGCUGUGUGUGGGAGAAAGAAAUGGGAAUAAGGUUGGAUGACUUGUUUGUCGAGAAUCGAUUUAGGGAGGAAUUACUGAGGCUAGUUUGGAUAGGUUUGGUAUAGUAUGACUGAUAGAUUUCAGAUUUGAAUUGGCUGCAUACUUCUGUUCAUAUAUCUUUAUUAAUGAAACGGCAUGAAUAUAUGAUGUCGGUUUAGCUAACAAUAAUUCGCAUUUCAGGUACUCUUGAAGGCCAGCAAUGAAUAAUGACACCACCCAGUCCUCACUGAGUCCAGUAACCUGAUUGGCAUAAGCAGUUCCAGACAAAUGGAAGAAAAUCAUUCUCAGUCUCAUCUCCUCAGAUUGGUAAAAUUGUUGUUGAUGUCGAGGAUGUGAAGAGCCUUCAUUACCGACUGGUGUUACUUGCUUCAGUUUUAGUGCUUCCGACAGCAUGCUUCGGAUUUCUCUGAGUCCUCCAGUCCGUCCAUACGCGAUGCCGUCAUAGAGACGUGACUUACAACCUCCACGUGAUUCCGUUGCAGAGCGGCAAUUUCUUGCUGCCAGAGUUCAUCGUAAGCCAUGCUUCCUCUCAGCGAGAGUACCAAAUGAUAGAUUGAUUGAAAAAAAAAAAGAUGAUGUUAACUUUUAUAUAUUAUAAAUUAAUAAGGAAAAUAUGAUUUAAA